GAUGAAGAACGUAGCGAAAUGCGAUAAGUAAUGUGAAUUGCAGAAUUCAGUGAAUCAUCGAAUCUUUGAACGCACAUUGCGCCCGCCAGUAUUCUGGCGGGCAUGCCUGUUCGAGCGUCAUUUCAACCAUCAAGCCCCAGGCUUGUGUUGGGGACCUGCGGCUGCCGCAGGCCCUGAAAACCAGUGGCGGGCUCGCUGUCACACCGGGCGUAGUAGAUUUUAUCUCGUUCAGGGCGUGCUGCGGGUUCCGGCCGUUAAAAAGCCUUUUUUACCCAAGGUUGACCUCGGAUCAGGUAGGAAGACCCGCUGAACUUAAGCAUAUCAAUAAGCGGAGGA
rnacentral:misc_RNA from 1 species